rnacentral:rRNA from 1 species
AGCUGAGUUUGAUCUGGCUCAGAUUGAACGCUGGCGGCAUGCCUUACACAUGCAAGUCGAACGGCAGCACGGGUGCUUGCACCUGGUGGCGAGUGGCGGAACGGGUGAGUAAUACAUCGGAACGUACCUUAUCGUGGGGGAUAACGCAGCGAAAGUUGCGCUAAUACCGCAUACGCCCGUGAGGGGAAAGCGGGGACCGUAAGGCCUCGCGCGAUUAGAGCGGCCGAUGUCUGAUUAGCUUG